AAGUCGUAACAAGGUUUCCGUAGGUGAACCUGCGGAAGGAUCAUUAACAUUAUUCUUUUACUCUUUGGGUUUUGUGUGGUGGUAGAGUGUUUUAUUACAUUCUGCUUUCUCACAACUCCCAUUCCACCCCAAAUGUGCAUUGUGUUGUGCUUUUUGAGUCAAAUCAAAAGCACUUCUUUUUCUCAACUUUUCCAACCAUAAAACCCCUUUUUAUUACUUCUAGACUGACUUUAAACCACUUGAUUCGUACACUUCAUACUGUACGAUGACCAAUCAUAAUACAACUCUUAGCAACGGAUAUCUAGGCUCUC
rnacentral:misc_RNA from 1 species